rnacentral:rRNA from 1 species
GACGAACGCUGGCGGCGUGCUUAACACAUGCAAGUCGAACGGAAAGGCCCUGCUUUUGUGGGGUGCUCGAGUGGCGAACGGGUGAGUAACACGUGAGUAACCUGCCCUUGACUUUGGGAUAACUUCAGGAAACUGGGGCUAAUACCGGAUAGGAGCUCCUGCUGCAUGGUGGGGGUUGGAAAGUUUCGGCGGUUGGGGAUGGACUCGCGGCUUAUCAGCUUGUUGGUGGGGUAGUGGCUUACCAAGGCUUUGACGGGUAGCCGGCCUGAGAGGGUGACCGGCCACAUUGGGACUGAGAUACGGCCCAGACUCCUACGGGAGGCAGCAGUGGGGAAUAUUGCACAAGGGGCGGAAGCCUGAUGCAGCAACGCCGCGUGCGGGAUGACGGCCUUCGGGUUGUAAACCGCUUUCGCCUGUGACGAAGCGUGAGUGACGGUAAUGGGUAGAGAAGCACCGGCUAACUACGUG